CGGGAAUAUUGCGCAAUGGAGGAAACUCUGACGCAGUGACGCCGCGUAUAGGACGAAGGUCUUCGGAUUGUAAACUAUUGUCGUUAGGGAAGAGAAAGGACAGUACCUAAGGAGGAAGCUCCGGCUAACUACGUGCCAGCAGCCGCGGUAAUACGUAGGGAGCAAGCGUUAUCCGGAUUUAUUGGGUGUAAAGGGUGCGUAGACGGGAAUUUAAGUUAGUUGUGAAAGCCCUCGGCUUAACUGAGGAACUGCAACUAAAACUGGAUUUCUUGAGUGUUGGAGAGGAAAGCGGAAUUCCUAGUGUAGCGGUGAAAUGCGUAGAUAUUAGGAGGAACACCAGUGGCGAAGGCGGCUUUCUGGACAAUAACUGACGUUGAGGCACGAAAGUGUGGGGAGCAAACAGGAUUAGAUACCCUGGUAGUCCACACCGUAAACGAUGAAUACUAGGUGUAGGUUAUAUCAUGUAAUCUGUGCCGUCGCAAACGCAAUAAGUAUUCCACCUGGGGAGUACGGCCGCAAGGUUGAAACUCGAAGGAAUUGACGGGGGCCCGCACAAGCAGUGGAGUAUGUGGUUUAAUUCGAAGCAACGCGAAGAACCUUACCAGGGCUUGACAUAUACAGGAAUAAUUAAGAGAUUAAUUAGUUCUUCGGAACUUGUAUACAGGUGGUGCAUGGUUGUCGUCAGCUCGUGUCGUGAGAUGUUGGGUUAAGUCCCGCAACGAGCGCAACCCCUGCUUUUAGUUGCCAGCACGUAAUGGUGGGAACUCUAGAAGGACUGCCGGUGAUAAAUCGGAGGAAGGUGGGGACGACGUCAAAUCAUCAUGCCCUUUAUGUCCUGGGCUACACACGUACUACAAUGGCUGUAACAGAGGGAAGCGAACUAGUGAUAGUAAGCAAAACCCAAAAAGCAGUCUCAGUUCGGAUUGAAGGCUGAAAUUCGCCUUCAUGAAGCCGGAAUUGCUAGUAAUGGCAGGUCAGCAUACUGCCGUGAAUACGUUCCCG
rnacentral:rRNA from 1 species